UACGGAGGAUGCGAGCGUUAUCCGGAUUUAUUGGGUUUAAAGGGUGCGUAGGCGGGAUGCAAAGUCAGCGGUAAAAAUGCGGUGCUCAACGCCGUCGAGCCGUUGAAACUGGCGUUCUUGAGUGGGCGAGAAGUAUGCGGAAUGCGUGGUGUAGCGGUGAAAUGCAUAGAUAUCACGCAGAACUCCGAUUGCGAAGGCAGCAUACCGGCGCCCUACUGACGCUGAGGCACGAAAGCGUGGGUAUCGAACAGG
rnacentral:rRNA from 1 species